UUAAUAUUCCUGUACUUGGUGUUACUGCGAAGGGGGGACGGAGAAGGCUAUGUUGGCCGGGCGACGGUUGUCCCGGUUUAAGCGUGUAGGCUGGUUUUCCAGGCAAAUCCGGAAAAUCAAGGCUGAGGCGUGAUGACGAGGCACUACGGUGCUGAAGCAACAAAUGCCCUGCUUCCAGGAAAAGCCUCUAAGCAUCAGGUAACAUCAAAUCGUACCCCAAACCGACACAGGUGGUCAGGUAGAGAAUACCAAGGCGCUUGAGAGAACUCGGGUGAAGGAACUAGGCAAAAUGGUGCCGUAACUUCGGGAGAAGGCACGC
rnacentral:rRNA from 1 species